GAUGAACGCUAGCUGGAGACUUAAUACGUGCAAGUCGAGCGGGAUUGGGUAGCAAUACCCAUGAGAGCGGCGCACGGGUGAGUAACGCGUACACGACCUACCUCUAACAGGGGGAUAGCCCUGGGAAACUGGGAUUAAUACCGCAUAUUAUUUUGGACACUAAGGGUUUGAAAUGAAAGCUGAGGCGGUUAGAGAUGGGUGUGCGUCUGCUUAGCUAGUUGGUGAGGUAACGGCUCACCAAGGCGAUGAUCAGUAGGGGGCGUGAGAGCGUGGACCCCCACACGGGUACUGAGACACGGACCCGACUCCUACGGGAGGCAGCAGUAAGGAAUAUUGGUCAAUGGGCGAAAGCCUGAACCAGCCAUCCAGCGUGCAGGAAGAAGGCCCUAUGGGUUGUAAACUGCUUUUGUCAGGGAAUAAACCCUUGGAUUCACUCCGAGGCUGAAGGUACCUGAAGAAUAAGCACCGGCUAACUCCGUGCCAGCCGCCGCAGUAAUAC
rnacentral:rRNA from 1 species